rfam:Capsicum annuum cultivar Zunla-1 chromosome 5, whole genome shotgun sequence
UAUUAAUGGUGUGGACAGUCCCAUGAUAGUGCUUUGAACCGCUCCUAUGCAUGAUAUAUAUUCUCAUCUGUCUUCUAUUUAAAGCAUACAAUCUCACUAUGAAGUA